CAGUAGCCGCGGUAAUACGUAGGGUGCAAGCGUUAAUCGGAAUUACUGGGCGUAAAGCGUGCGCAGGCGGUUCGUAAAGAAAGAUGUGAAAUCCCAGGGCUCAACCUUGGAACUGCAUUUUUAACUCCCGAACUAGAGUAUGUCAGAGGGGGGUGGAAUUCCCCGUGUAGCAGUGAAAUGCGUAGAUAUGUGGAGGAACACCGAUGGCGAAGGCAGCCACCUGGGCUAAUACUGGCGCUCAUGCACGAAAGCGUGGGGAGCAAACAGGAUUAGAUACCCGCGUAGUCCCUGUCUCUUAUAC
rnacentral:rRNA from 1 species